rnacentral:rRNA from 1 species
UACGUAGGUGACCAGCGUUGUCCGGAUUUACUGGGCGUAAAGAGCGCGCAGGCGGUCGUUCAAGUCGAGUGUGAAAGCCCCCGGCUCAACUGGGGAGGGUCAUUCGAUACUGAUCGACUCGAAGGCAGGAGAGGGAAGUGGAAUUCCCGGUGUAGUGGUGAAACGCGUAGAUAUCGGGAGGAACACCAGUGGCGAAGGCGACUUCCUGGCCUGUUCUUGACGCUGAGGCGCGAAAGCUAGGGGAGCAAACGGG